UACGUAGGGAGCGAGCGUUGUCCGGAAUUACUGGGCGUAAAGGGUGCGUAGGCGGCAUGGCGAGUCAGAUGUGAAAUACCCGGGCUUAACCCGGGGGGUGCAUUUGAAACUGCUGUGCUUGAGUGCAGGAGAGGAAAGCGGAAUUCCUAGUGUAGCGGUGAAAUGCGUAGAUAUUAGGAGGAACACCAGUGGCGAAGGCGGCUUUCUGGACUGUAACUGACGCUGAGGCACGAAAGCGUGGGGAGCAAACAGGAUUAGAUACCCUGGUA
rnacentral:rRNA from 1 species